rnacentral:rRNA from 1 species
CCUACGGGAGGCAGCAGUGGGGCAUAUUGCACAAUGGGGGAAACCCUGAUGCAGCGACGCCGCGUGAGUGAAGAAGUAUUUCGGUAUGUAAAGCUCUAUCAGCAGGGAAGAAAAUGACGGUACCUGAUUAAGAAGCCACGGCUAACUACGUGACAGCAGCCGCGGGAAUACGAAGGGGGCAAGCGUUAUCCGGAUGUACUGGGUGUAAAGGGAGCGAAGACGGCAGCAUAAGUCUGGAGUGAAAUGCCGGGGCUUAACCCCGGAACUGCUUUGGAAACUGUGCAGCUAGAGUGCAGGAGAGGUAAGUGGAAUUCCUAGUGUAGCGGUGAAAUGCGUAGAUAUUAGGAGGAACACCAGUGGCGAAGGCGGCUUACUGGACUGUAACUGACGUUGAGGCUCGAAAGCGUGGGGAGCAAACAGGAUUAGAUACCCGGGUAGUC